rnacentral:rRNA from 1 species
GAUGAACGCUGGCGGCGUGCUUAACACAUGCAAGUCGAACGAUGAAGCCCAGCUUGCUGGGCGGAUUAGUGGCGAACGGGUGAGUAACACGUGAGUAACCUGCCCUUGACUCUGGGAUAAGCCCGGGAAACUGGGUCUAAUACCGGAUAGGAGCGCCUGUCGCAUAACGGGUGCUGGAAAGAUCUUUCGGUCAUGGAUGGACUCGCGGCCUAUCAGCUUGUUGGUGAGGUAACGGCUCACCAAGGCGACGACGGGUAGCCGGCCUGAGAGGGUGACCGGCCACACUGGGACUGAGACACGGCCCAGACCCCUACGGGAGGCAGCAGUGGGGAAUAUUGCACAAUGGUCGAAAGCCUGAUGCAGCGACGCCGCGUGAGGGAUGACGGCCUUCGGGCUGUAAACCUCUUUCAGCAGGGAAGAAGCGAAAGUGACGGUACCUGCAGAAGAAGCACCGGCUAACUACGUG